rnacentral:rRNA from 1 species
UACGGAGGGGGCUAGCGUUGUUCGGAAUUACUGGGCGUAAAGCGCGCGUAGGCGGCUUUGUAAGUUAGAGGUGAAGGCCCGGGGCUCAACUCCGGAACUGCCUUUAAGACUGCAUCGCUUGAAUCCGGGAGAGGUGAGUGGAAUUCCGAGUGUAGAGGUGAAAUUCGUAGAUAUUCGGAAGAACCCCAGAGGCGAAGGCGGCGCCCUGGCUCGCAACUGACGCUCAGACACGACAGCAUGGGGAGCGAACGGG